ACGAACGCUGGCGGCGUGCUUAACACCUGCAAGUCGAACGGAAAGGCCCUGCUUUUGUGGGGUGCUCGAGUGGCGAACGGGUGAGUAACACGUGAGUAACCUGCCCUUGACUUUGGGAUAACUUCAGGAAACUGGGGCUAAUACCGGAUAGGAGCUCCUGCUGCAUGGUGGGGGUUGGAAAGUUUCGGCGGUUGGGGAUGGACUCGCGGCUUAUCAGCUUGUUGGUGGGGUAGUGGCUUACCAAGGCUUUGACGGGUAGCCGGCCUGAGAGGGUGACCGGCCACAUUGGGACUGAGAUACGGCCCAGACUCCUACGGGAGGCAGCAGUGGGGAAUAUUGCACAAUGGGCGGAAGCCUGAUGCAGCAACGCCGCGUGCGGGAUGACGGCCUUCGGGUUGUAAACCGCUUUCGCCUGUGACGAAGCGUGAAUGACGGUAAUGGGUAAAGAAGCACCGGCUAACUACGU
rnacentral:rRNA from 1 species